AGCCGACGGCCGCCGCCGCACUGCCCAGUCUGGCCACGCGAUGGCGCUGUGGGCCCGGCGGCGAAGCCCCUGCGCGCGCUCUCGCCGGACUCCCGGCCUGAAGAUCGCGGUUCGGUUCCGCCUCUGAGCGGCCGCGGGGCUCCCGGCCUGGAAAGGGCGCUCGCGAGUCGCCUCCAGCAUCGCAGCAGCCCGGCUGAGGUUACUCAGCAGCUGGUCGGUAACCGAUUGGUUCUCAGGGACUGGAAAUCCUCCCCAGGACAGAUGGGGAUAAUAACCCGGACCAGCUGGGAGGACGGAAGGAGAGGAUGCUGGAAAAGGUGCACUCAGCGCUGGCGCCCUGCACAGCACACUAGGGAAUCAGCAUCAUCCUUUGACCCAGGCCAGGCAAGCUGCAGGUUGUCAUCUCCAGAAGAGGCCAGAAAAUAGACAGUCUACAGGAAUAUUUACUGCGCUUGCAUGAGAAAAAUUUCCAAGCUACCCCCUGAAGCAAUGAAGUUGGAUAUGGAGCAAAUGGAAACAUUGUGAAAUUGCUUAUUUUCUUCCAAAAUUUGUUAUUUUUCUUCCUUAUUUUCUGUUAAAUCAGUGCCACUUAUUAGCAACCAUAUUUUUGCAUUAUAUACUCAGCAGAAUUUUCUCUCCGUGACUGUAUUCCAAAUUAAACUUUUACGUUUCCAGGAAAAGUGUAACAAAUGUUUAAAUCGGUCAAAAGUUAAACUAAUGAGAGGAAGGAAAAAAAAAAAAAAAACCCACAACUUUUCUUCUUCUCUAUUGCUAUUGCUUUUUAUCUGCCUCACAAUUGGGGGAUGCUUUUACUCCUGGGAUCGUGAAAGGACCAUUCACAAAGCAAGAAGGCUCAGGAAACACACAAAGAUGUCUGAACUUAGACCUAUUGAAAAGUUCUGACAAAUGCUGGUUUCAGGCAAACAAAGGCAGUUGGGGGAUUUCAUUGCAAACUUUGGAUGGGGCUGCUUAGAACCACUUGCGCUGUGUUAGAGCUGGGAGGGUGUCCAGUCUGGAAGCCUCCUUUUACAGAUGGUGUGGCAGAAUUCCAGACAGUGACAGCAGCACGCCCAAGAUAAUUUAGUGAUAAAAUUACAAAUAGAGCUCUUCCCCCUUGCUGAGUAUUCUUUAAUGAGCAGCUACUAGUUUCAUUUAGGGUGUUUCUCUGCCGAGGUUCAAUGGAGAUGCAGCGAAAUGCAAGCUGAUGCUUUCUAGCAACGACAAGCAUAUAACACUCUCGAUAAGCAAAAGGUGACCACACAUUAAUUUCCUACAGAGGUGGCCCAGCAAGGCCCAAACUCUGUCUUCAUUUUGACCUUAUUUGUGUCUCCAUUCCAGAGCCAAAGGUUGGAAUGAGCACCAAAGAGUAGGUUCCUGGGUGAAACUUGUAAUAUUGACUGUUGUCAUGGGAACAGAACAGUGGCUACUCUCGUCCACAAGUGUUCGAUUCAGACAAGGCUACAGUAGCCUGGAAUGCUCCUUCUCAGGAACUUUCGGUAGCUUGAUGCAGCCCAGAAUAUUUUGAGAAAGAAGUAUAUUAAAAGUAUUACACCACUGAGGGAAAGUAAAAAAAAUAAAUAAAUAAAGCUAUUAUCCAUCUUCAAUAGCCAAAUCAAACCAUCAACAGAUGGACGGCUAUAACAGAAUGUCUCAGGCAGAGACCUCAGAAGAGAUAAUAGAGAUGAAAAAUUAGUACAUAGUGAAGAUCUGUGAGCAAAGGGAGAUUAGUCCAUAAGGGAUGUUAGGAUGAAGCAUGUGGAAAAUAUUAAAGAUAAUCCCUCGCUCUCCCAUAUACCAAAAUAAAUUCCACAUGCACUUAACAGUUAUAGGCAAAAAUAACAUAAAAAUAGAAGACAUGGGGAACUUUCAGAUCUUGAGAGAAGAACGUUAUAGAUAUAAAAGCUUAGACAUAGGUUAAAAAGUUAAAGCUUGUUGGGUUUGACCACAGAAACAUUACAACUUCUGGACAUUGGAAACACUGGAAAGAUGGUUACGAAAAUGAUUGACGCAAAGAAUCUUAUUUUUAUGUGAAAGCCUAUUGCAAAACAAGGAGAAACGUGCUAAUCCAACUCUGUUAAAAUGGACCAAGAAUACGAGUAAAUGAGAAAAAUACAAAUGUCCACCAUGUAAAAUACUCAAAUGCAUCAUGAAGACUGUAAAUCCACCCAAUAAUGCAGAUUCAUUUUGCCCG
rnacentral:lncRNA from 9 species